GAUGAAGAACGUAGCGAAAUGCGAUAAGUAAUGUGAAUUGCAGAAUUCAGUGAAUCAUCGAAUCUUUGAACGCACAUUGCGCCCGCCAGUAUUCUGGCGGGCAUGCCUGUUCGAGCGUCAUUUCAACCAUCAAGCCCCCGGCUUGUGUUGGGGACCUGCGGCUGCCGCAGGCCCUGAAAAGCAGUGGCGGGCUCGCUGUCACACCGAGCGUAGUAGCAUACAUCUCGCUCUGGGCGUGCUGCGGGUUCCGGCCGUUAAACCACCUUCAUAACCCAAGGUUGACCUCGGAUCAGGUAGGAAGACCCGCUGAACUUAAGCAUAUCCAAUAAGCGGAGGA
rnacentral:misc_RNA from 1 species